UUAUUUUGUUAUCCAAGAAUAUAUAUUUAAAAUUUUGAAAAUAAAUCUGGAAAUUCGUUGACAUGCAUACAGAAAGAUUUUUAAAAUAUCAAAAAUGCUAAAUAUAGUCUCAUAUCUUCUGGGUUUGUUUUCUUUUCUGGUCAUAUCAUACGUACAUUCGAUGCUUUCAUCAACCAUAUUCAGCAUAUUAAUGAUGUUUCAUUGAAAAAAUUCAGUUAUGAGGAAUAGCUUAUGAUAGACCGAGCUAAAACAAAAUAAAAAGAAAACUUUAAAUAGAAAAUAAGUAGAAAGCUGUCUGCAUGGUUCGAGCCAUGCAUCUCCUGUUACCCAAACAGACGCGCUAUGAAUUGUCUCAAAGCAUUCCUCGCAUGUGUCAAGGCUGCUUUUUAUCUCUCCAAAGUCUGUAAGAUAAGUAGGCCAUCUCCUUUCACUUCCUCAUUCGACUAUAAAAGCUGGUCUCAAGAUCUACCUCAGAUGAAUUCAAUAUUUUUGUAUUCGUAAACUGGCACCUGGAGUUUGCUACGUAAUUUCUGCAUCCAUUAUAAAAUGUUAAUUUUCACCGGAAUAUGUACUAACGUUACGAGUUUCCUCAUAAUAGAUUACCAUUCUACAUAGCCGAAAGCAAAACUUAUAGACUCAGAAAAAACGGUAACUUGCUCUGAUUAGGUUGAAAACCAUUUCAAGUCAGUAAUACGCUAAUAUCCAUAGAAAAUGCAUGAAUGUCACAAUUUUGCAUUACUUUCCUCUAAAAAUAUAUUGUACCAGUAUUUAUGUGUUCACGUAUUUUGUCUGUACUUUGCAAUCAGCAUAUUGACUAUUCCGCAUGACAUGAAUUAAUAUUUUUAAUAGAAUUGCACGCCAUGUUCUUGAUGUUAUAAAUGGUCAAUUAUUGUGAUGAUAAAUUCAUAAGAAAACCAAUUUUACUCAUUUCAUUAUUGCAAAUAAACUUAGAUAUCUUCUCCACCACUUUCACACAUGCACAAAUAUAUGUGUCGGCAAAAAUACGAGCCUAGGUAUCUUAAUUAUAAGCGUGUGAAAUAGUUCACUUCCUGUAAUGACAUACUUGUGCAGUAAUAUCAUUGUACUAAGCAAAUUUAUAAAUAGGAAGCUUACAAAGAAGCAAAUAUAGAUAGAUAGAUAGAUAGAUAUAUAGAUAGAUAAAUAGAUACGUUCUUUUUUAUAUAAUUUCAAAAUGAGAUGGGCAAUGUUUAAUCAGGUAUGUAGGAAAAUCAUAGCGAUUAACAAGCAACAUUUACGUAUAGUGUGACCUAGUGCUGGAAACUCUUUAUUUAAACUCUUGCUGAACUAAAUUCACGGAUUAAUUUUGAUUUCCAUUUGAACGGCUAAAUCACUUGAAAUUUAAUGUCAUUACAUAUUGAAGUCUUUAUGCAUGCGUUGAUAAUCAAUACUGUUACAUAUUCUUUUUAUUAUACCUAAUAUGUGACAUGUUUAACGUUGUAUUUCUUCGCU